rnacentral:rRNA from 1 species
GAGUUUGAUCCUGGCUCAGAACGAACGCUGGCGGCAGGCUUAACACAUGCAAGUCGCAGGAGAAGGGGGCUUCGGUCCCCGGACACUGGCGGACGGGUGAGUAACGCGUGGGGACCUACCCUGGGGUGGGGGAUAACCGCUGGAAACGGCGGCUAAUACCGCAUACGCCCCUUGCUUUGCAGGGGGGAAAGCUCCGGUGCCCUGGGAUGGCCCCGCGUCGGAUUAGCUUGUUGGUGGGGUAACGGCUCACCAAGGCGACGAUCCGUAGCUGGUCUGAGAGGAUGACCAGCCACACUGGAACUGAGACACGGUCCAGACUCCUACGGGAGGCAGCAGUGGGGAAUAUUGGACAAUGGGGGCAACCCUGAUCCAGCCAUGCCGCGUGUGUGAAGAAGGCCUUAGGGUUGUAAAACACUUUCAGCGGGGAAGAUGAUGACGGUACCCGCAGAAGAA